GACGAACGCUGGCGGCGUGCCUAAUACAUGCAAGUAGAGCGCUGAAGGUUGGUCCUGGUACCAACUGGAUGUGCAGCGCACGGGUGAGUAACGCGUGGGGAAUCCGUCUUUGAGCGGGGGACAACUUUUGGAAACGAACGCUAAUACCGUAUAAAAACUUUAAACAUAAGAUUUAAGUUUGAAAGACGCAUUUGCAUCACCCAAAGAUGAUCUCGCGUUGUAUUAGCUAGUUGGUGAGGUAAAGGCUCACCAAGGCGAUGAUACAUAGCCGACCUGAGAGGGUGAUCGGCCACAUUGGGACUGAGACACGGCCCAAACUCCUACGGGAGGCAGCAGUAGGGAAUCUUCGGCAAUGGACGGAAGUCUGACCGAGCAACGCCGCGUGAGUGAAGAAGGGUUUCGGAUCGUAAAGCUCUGUUGGUAGAGAAGAACGUUGGUGAGAGUGGAAAGCUCAUCAAGUGACGGUAACUAACCAGAAAGGGACGGCUAACUACGUG
rnacentral:rRNA from 1 species